rnacentral:sRNA from 1 species
GUGGUGCGGAGCUGAGGGUGACUACAACGUGAUGGUCAUGGAGCUGCUGGGGCCUAGCCUCGAGGACCUGUUCAACUUCUGUUCCCGCAAAUUCAGCCUCAAGACGGUGCUGCUCUUGGCCGACCAGAUGAUCAGCCGCAUCGAGUAUAUCCACUCCAAGAACUUCAUCCACCGGGACGUCAAGCCCGACAACUUCCUCAUGGGGCUGGGGAAGAAGGGCAACCUGGUCUACAUCAUCGACUUCGGCCUGGCCAAGAAGUACCGGGACGCCCGCACCCACCAGCACAUUCCCUACCGGGAAAACAAGAACCUGACCGGCACGGCCCGCUACGCUUCCAUCAACACGCACCUGGGCAUUGAGCAAAGCCGUCGAGAUGACCUGGAGAGCCUGGGCUACGUGCUCAUGUACUUCAACCUGGGCUCCCUGCCCUGGCAGGGGCUCAAAGCAGCCACCAAGCGCCAGAAGUAUGAACGGAUCAGCGAGAAGAAGAUGUCAACGCCCAUCGAGGUCCUCUGCAAAGGCUAUCCCUCCGAAUUCUCAACAUACCUCAACUUCUGCCGCUCCCUGCGGUUUGACGACAAGCCCGACUACUCUUACCUACGUCAGCUCUUCCGCAACCUCUUCCACCGGCAGGGCUUCUCCUAUGACUACGUCUUUGACUGGAACAUGCUGAAAUUCGUGAGUCACCUGGAGGCCAAGGCGGGCUUGGGGGACUGGAUGGGGAAGGCCCUGACUCAGAGGGCCAGAGUGAGCCGGUGGCGGGCGGGGCUCCCGACAGACGGGAGGUACGAGCUGGACAGUGUGGUUGACCUCACUGGGGUCCCAGAGCCCUCCGGCCUCAUCCGUGCUGACAGCUUGUGCCACCAUGGGCAGCAGGGCCCAGG